rnacentral:snRNA from 1 species
GGAUGUGAGGGCGAUCUGGCUUCGACAUCUGUCACCCCAUUGAUCGCCAGGGCUGAUUCAGCUGAUCUGGCUGGCUAGACGGGUGUCCCCUUGCUCCCUCAUGGCUCCAUGUGUGUCCCUCCAGAGAUGCCAAGCUGUAUGCUCUGUCCAAGAGGAUGUGCUCCCUUCCCCUGCUAGAACCUCCCAACAAGCUCUCGAGAUCACACACAAGAUCACAUUCUUCACAGAUGAGAAGGACAGAAUUAAAGUAGGAGGAACAGUUCAUUUUCUGGGUUAACUC